UAUCUUACAAGCAAAGCACCUAACAACCCUUUUAGGUUCUUACUUAAUGUGGUAAACCUGUCUUUAUUUGACCGGCGCUUUAUCUCAAACUUAAGAUCUUACCAUUGUAUCAUUUGGAUUAACCAUGAUAUCAAUUUGUUGGAGCCGGCCGGUUUAUUUUAAUUACCAGAAGAAAGAAAAAGAAAGAAAAAAAAUGUAAAUUUUCGUUAUGAUUUUACCAAAUAUG
rnacentral:lncRNA from 1 species